GAUGAACGCUGGCGGCGUGCCUAAUACAUGCAAGUCGAGCGAACAGACGAGGAGCUUGCUCCUCUGACGUUAGCGGCGGACGGGUGAGUAACACGUGGAUAACCUACCUAUAAGACUGGGAUAACUUCGGGAAACCGGAGCUAAUACCGGAUAAUAUAUUGAACCGCAUGGUUCAAUAGUGAAAGACGCUUUUUCUGUCACUUAUUGAUUGAUCCGCGCCGCAUUAGCUAGUUGGUAAGGUAACGGCUUACCAAGGCAACGAUGCAUAGCCGACCUGAGAGGGUGAUCGGCCACACUGGAACUUAGACACGGUCCAGACUCCUACGGGAGGCAGCAGUAGGGAAUCUUCCGCAAUGGGCGAAAGCCUGACGGAGCAACGCCGCGUGAGUGAUGAAGGUCUUCGGAUCGUAAAACUCUGUUAUUAGGGAAGAACAAAUGUGUAAGUAACUAUGCACGUCUUGACGGUACCUAAUCAGAAAGCCACGGCUAACUACGUG
rnacentral:rRNA from 1 species